UACGGGGGGGGUAAGCGUUGUUCGGAAUUACUGGGCGUAAAGGGCUCGUAGGCGGCCAACUAAGUCAUACGUGAAAUCCCUCAGCUUAACUGGGGAACUGCGUGUGAUACUGGAUGGCUUGGAUUUGGGAGAGGGAUGCGGAAUUCCAGGUGUAGCGGUGAAAUGCGUAGAUAUCUGGAGGAGCACCGGUGGCGAAGGCGGCAUCCUGGACCAAUAUUGACGCUGAGGAGCGAAAGCCAGGGGAGCAAACGGG
rnacentral:rRNA from 1 species